rnacentral:rRNA from 1 species
AGCAGCCGCGGUAAUUCCAGCUCCAAUAGCGUAUAUUAAAGUUGUUGCAGUUAAAAAGCUCGUAGUUGAAUUUCGGGAUCAAUAUAUCGGUCGUGCCUUGGUACGUACUGGUAUCAUUGGUUUCUCCUUUCUGACGAACCAUGAUGUCAUUAAUUUGGUGUUAUGGGAAGUUAGGACUGUUACUUUGAAAAAAUUAGAGUGUUUAAAGCAGGCUUUAGCUUGAAUACAUUAGCAUGGAAUAAUGAAAUAGGACGUUCGAACCUAUUUUGUUGGUUUCUAGGAUCAACGUAAUGAUUAAUAGGGAUAGUUGAGGGCAUUAGUAUUCAAUUGUCAGAGGUGAAAUUCUUGGAUUUAUUGAAGACUAACUACUGCGAAAGCAUUUGCCAAGGAUGUUUUCAUUAAUCAAGAACGAAAGUUAGGGGAUCGAAGACGAUCAGAUACCGUCGUAGU